GACUGGGAAGGGGGCGAGACUUUGCGAGGGGCCUCGGGGCGCCAAAACUAAGUCGCGGGCAAAGCCGCGCCCAAAAAUAAGCGCCCGAAGGUCGUGGUGCCAAAACCCCCCAGCGGAAAAAUGGCCAAAAAACGGGUGGGCUAUAGCCUUGGUGGGGGGCGCGGGCGAAGUUCGUCCGCCGGACUCGGAAUGGGACGAGACUUUGCGAGGGGCCUCGGGGCGCCAAAAAUAAGCCGCGGUCAAAGCCGCGCCCAAAAAUAAGCUCCCGAAGGUCGUGGUACCAAAACCCCCCAGCGGAAAAAUGGCCAAAAAACGGGUGGGCUAUAGCCUUGGUGGGGGGCGCGGGCGAAGUUCGUCCGCCGGACUCGGAAUGGGGCGAGACUUUGCGAGGGGCCUCGGGGUGCCUGCGGGAAGUCGCGGGCACAGCCGCGUCCAAAAAUAAGCGCCCGAAGGUCGUGGUGCCAAAACUCCCCAGCGGAAAAAUGGCCAAAAAACGGGUGGGCUA
rnacentral:lncRNA from 1 species